rnacentral:rRNA from 1 species
AGUGGAUGGGGAGCAACCUAGUUGUGCGUGUGUAAAGGUAGUGCCAAGAAAAGCGAUGAUCAUGUUGAAAAUCAAUUCCCGGUACCCGAAACCGACACAGGUGGGCAAGUAGAGAAUACUAAGGGGCGCGAGGUAACUCUCUCCAAGGAACUCGGCAAAAUGACCCCGUAACUUAGGGAGAAGGGGUGCCACCGAGAGGUGGUCGCAGUGAAGAGGCCCAGGCGACUGUUUAGCAAAAACAUAGGUCUCUGCAAACUCGAAAGAGGAGGUAUAGGGGCUGACGCCUGCCCAGUGCCGGAAGGUUAAAGAAGUCGGUCAGUCUUAGGAUGAAGCUAGCGACUGAAGCCCCGGUGAACGGCGGCCGUAACUAUAACGGUCCUAAGGUAGCGAAAUUCCUUGUCGGGUAAGUUCCGAUCCGCACGAAAGGCGUAACGAUCUGGGCGCUGUCUCGGAGAGAGGCUCGGCGAAAUAGGAUUGUCUGUGAAGAUACGGACUACCUGCAUUUGGACAGAAAGACCCUAUGAAGCUUUACUAUAGCUUGGAAUUGUGUUCGGGCUUCCUGUGCGCAGGAUAGGUGGGAGGCGUAGAAGGUAUUCUUGUGGGGAUACUGGAGCCAACGGUGAGAUACCACUCUCAGGAGGCUAGAAUUCUAACUUAAUUAAGGACAGUUUCAGGUGGGUAGUUUGACUGGGGCGGUCGCCUCCAAAAAGGUAACGGAGGCGUACAAAGGUUCCCUCAGACUGGUUGGAAAUCAGUCGAAGAGUGCAAAGGCAGAAGGGAGCUUGACUGCGAGAAGUACAGUUCGAGCAGGGUGGAAACACGGUCUUAGUGAUCCGACGGUGCUGUGUGGAAGGGCCGUCGCUCAACGGAUAAAAGUUACUCUAGGAUAACAGGCUGAUCUCCCCCAAGAGUUCACAUCGACGGGGAGGUUUGGCACCUCGAUGUCGGCUCAUCGCAACCUGGGGCGGAAGUACGUCCCAAGGGUUGGGCUGUUCGCCCAUUAAAGCGGUACGUGAGCUGGGUUCAGAACGUCGUGAGACAGUUCGGUCCAUAUCCGAUGUAGGCGUGAGAAUAUUGAGAGGAGCCUUCCUUAGUACGAGAGGACCGGGAAGGACGCACCGCUGGUGUACCUGUUAUGAUGCCAAUUGUAAACGCAGGGUAGCCAAGUGCGGAGAGGAUAACCGCUGAAAGCGUCUAAGUGGGAAGCCCACCUCAAGAUGAGUAUUCUGGUGUAAGGUCACGGGAAGACGACCCGUAAAUAGGCACGAGGUGGAAGUGCAGAGAUGUAUGAAGCCGAAGUGUACUAAUAGACCGUCGGCUUGACC